rnacentral:rRNA from 1 species
UACGUAGGGCGCAAGCGUUGUCCGGAAUUAUUGGGCGUAAAGAGCUCGUAGGCGGUGUGUCACGUCGUUCGUGAAAACCUGCAGCUUAACUGUGGGCGUGCGGUCGAUACGGGCAUCACUGGAGUUCGGCAGGGGAGACUGGAAUUCCUGGUGUAGCGGUGAAAUGCGCAGAUAUCGGGAGGAACACCGGUGGCGAAGGCGGCGACCUGGGUAGAUACGUGACGCGUGAGGCGCGAAAGCGGUGGGGAGCAAACAGG